GUGCAGAAGCACCAAUAGUAGGUAUGGCAACAUAAAUAUUGUUAAAACGACAAUAAGUCGCACCAGUUUAUUUCAAAACGGAGAGCUUUCAUAUUACAAGAAUUACAGUUCAACUGUCUAACACAUAAAAUAGGGCGUCGUAUAUAAAUGCCGAAAAAAACUGACUAGGUCAACGGUACAGAUACAUUAUAUUAUUAAAAUAUUGCAAUGUCCAUAAUGUGGAGGGCGCCUCAACGAUCCCCCAUUCAUUAAAAUUUUUUGAAGAAUUUAAAAAUUCGUUAGGCCGAGUCAUUUAACGAAUGUUAAUUGAAUAAUGGGACCAUUUGCAUUACAGACUAAAUUUUGAUCUAAACAAAUCUAGACAAAAAUUUCAUCACAGCUUGAAAGAGCAUCACAAAAUUAGUAUAAUAUUCCAAGUUUCGUUGCGAAAUGUUGCAAAAUGCGGAUAAUAUAGCCUUGCAAAGUUUGCCGGUUUUCAGUCAUUUUGCAUUACGCGGGAGAAAUUGACAGCCCAAUACCCUUUGAGCAAUUUGGGGCUGUCAAUUUCCCGUUUGUAAUAAAAUUACUGAAAAACGGCAAACUUCGCAAAGCUAUAUAUCAUCCGCAUUUUACAACAUUUGGCAAAGAAACUUUGGAAAAUUAUCAUCAUUAUUACAACAUUUGGCAAAGAAACUUUGGAAAAUUAUCAUCACAGACACACUUCUUAUCCCUUUGGUAUUAUAUCACUAUGACAUGAUAGGAUGAUAGAUGAAUCACUUUCAUGCUACGAUCGAUAUUUUUGUAAAAUACUGACAAAGAAGCAAAACGUAACGAAGCAUGGUCCCUUACAAGCUAGAUUUUCGAGCGACUAAUAUGAGAAUUCUAAUUUGUUUUUAUAAAGCUUGCCCGUUAUUUGGUGUUGUAGUAGCAAGAACGGGGAUGAGACGAAUUGUUAGCAAUAAAAGCUUUUCUCAAAGCGACAUGGAAGAUGAAGGUGAGUCAAUAAUUAGAGAGUUUAAGUUCGACCAUACUAACAACAGGUCAUGCGUAUGCGCUUGUGGGAAUUGUAAGAUAAACUCAUAUAAAUCAGGUAUUUUAUAUUUUUUUCGAUUAACACGUAAAUUAUGUGUUUAUUAGCAUUGCGUGAAUCAUAUUUGAGUCGGAAUUGUAGCUCAGCUGCCGUUUAGUAUACCGCACAUUUUCAGGGACAAUUAGUGUGUUCUGUCCUUUAUCUGUCGUGAUAACUUAAUUAAUGCUUUGACAUUCCACUACAAAAACUAUGAGAACGGAAGUCGAACUUAAACUCUCUAUACUAUAAGAAUGAAGAUUACCGAAAUAAUCUGAAAAACCACUACAUUUGAUUUUAACUGAUAUUGGGAGGGGGGCUUCCUUCCUGGGAUAGGCGCUAUACUACUAACAGCGAGAAAGAUCUCACUUUCGGGUGGUAAACACAUGUCAAUUGACAUACUGCAGAAUAUAUUUGCCUUCCCGCCCUGCCCAUUUACCACAUUUGAUAUAUUUUUCCCUCACGCGAUUUUGAUUUCGACUGUUUUAAACAAGGGGUAGCCAACGCAAAUCUAGGCGCAAUUGUACUGUUAGAAAUAUAUAUUUUAUUUCUUUUUUCUACGCGAGGUAGGGAAUCGUUUACAAUCAAUCUCUAGUAACUAUCAGUUCUUAGUGUUCGUUUUCUUGCAGUAGUUUUUCAAGAGUUCACUUCAGCCUUCAACUGGCUUUCACUGUUCGUGAUCUGUUCGUUAAUUUCUUCGUUUUGUCUUGUUUCGUUUGAGCUUUCUACAACUUUUCAUACAUAAUUUUUACUUCGUUGAGUCCACUGACGAAUUUGGGUCGUACACGCCCUUUUAUACUAACGGUUGAGGGAUCUUUCUACACGUGAUGUAGCAAGUGGUGUAAUUUGUAUCCAGCCAAUCAACGUUGAAGUUUAAAAGUGUGGGUUGGCGUUGCUAGCUCGUUCCAGCUCUCACAUUCUGUUUAUUUAAGGCGUUGUCGCACUGGUCGAGUUGGUUCGCUGUUCAAUCAAUCAUCAUUAAAACAUGUUCACAUGCAACUUAAAAUACUCAUCAAAAUAUCAUAGUAAAAACUUCAAACUAUACCUAUGUGAACCUUACUUUACCUACUAAACUAAAUUUACUUACAAUUUUAUUGAACCAAGAUUUUGAUGGCGUAAUGUUAUUCUUACUCAACCGCGCGAAAUAUACCGAAGAAUGAUUGACAGAAAGGCCCUAAGCAUGCACAUUUUCAUGUCAGAGAAGAACCAGCCUUGGACUUUGAAUUAUGUAAACACAACAGCCCACCAUGCAAGGCUAUCGUCCAACUCUGACAGUUUGACAAAUCAUUUAUCUUGCCUAAUGGACAGAUAAUUGACACUUUUACACAAGUCCGAAAUGAUAUAUACUUUAUCUGCGUUUUACAGCAAAAAUGCUCAUUAUCUCUCCACUUGACGUAACUAGUAUCUAUAAUUACCUAGGGUGCAAAUUGAACUAUUUUUAUACUAUUUAGAUAUACUUUCGUAACAGUACAAUACAAAGAACAACUAUGGGGUUCGGCCGUCCGGAGGCAUGGUCUGCGAAACGCAAUUUUAUGCAUAGUAUUAGAUACGUUUUAUGAUGAUCUUAAAGCCAAAUAUUUGGUAUAGAUGCAUUAAUGUCCUCACCGUUUAAUAAAAUUAAUAUAAAUAUAUAUAUAUAUAUAUAUAUAUAUAUAUAUAUAUAUAUAUAUAUAUAUAUAUAUAUAUUUAAUAUAACGACACGCAUAAGAACACGAGGUUUGUGGGGUUAUGGAACUGUGGGACAAUUGCUCUAUAUACUGUAUUUUUUAUCUGCGAAGAGCUGGGUGCUGAGCGGUUCCCAGGGCAUAUACUCGUAUUGAAAAGCUGGAUCUUGGGGAAAGUCGAUUAGGACAUAUACUGAUUUGCAGCUGGGUCCUAAUCUGCCCAAGACAUACACUUUUACGGAUUUUGAGCUGGGUCCUGAGUCGGCUAGAACAUAUACUCCAUUUAGAGCUGGGUCCUAGCCUGCCCUGCAAGACAUAUACUCUGAGCUGGGCCCUGGGAAAAAAUAAUCAGGGAAAUAUUUCUUAGAACACUGAUCUGGCUCAGCACAUAUACUCGUAUGCAGAAAUAGAGUGAUUUUUGUAAAUGGGAAUUGGCUGUAUGCCAGGUUGCCAAAUUCCGUAAAGAAAACGUGAGGUCUAUGGCAAAAUUGCGACCUCAUACUUAGAGCAAUUGCUUCAAACACUUCAUUCUUUAUUUAUUAUUUUAUUAAAUAUAUAAUAACAUUGAUAUAACAGUCUAGUGAAUGUUGAUAAGCGUUUAAUAUCCAACGAAGAUAAUAUUUAUAUGUGGAUCUAAAUAUAGUUCAAUGUUCCCGAGAAUUCAAUAUCACUCCCUAGGCGGGCCCAUAACAUACCGUAAUUACUUCCAAGUACCAUCUUAUACCAUCUCGUUACAUCAGUGAAAAGGCUGGAGCAUGGGGUGGUUGGUGGGUGACUCUUUAAAUCAGUCUUUACAGCUCGCAAUCCAAGUAAGAAUGAUAUAGGCAGAUAAAGCUAACUCGGAUAUCUGCCCAUGUUUAACUAUAGUUCCAUUGUUAUAGUUAUGAAUAAGUCAAACAUAGUGGUUUGGCAAGCAAAUAAUGAAAGUCUGUGAUAGAGUCUUCCUUUGUUUAGACAAUAGCAGCUUUCGAGUUGGCUUAACAUAGACAUUUUAAAUCUAUAGUUUUUAGGUCUAGCGCAUUGAGUAUCGUCCAUUAACAAUAAUUUGUACUCGUAAAAAUUACCAUUAAAAACACCACCCGGUUACAUCCUCCCCCUUUUUCCUCAGUUUUGGAAAAAUUACAAAAUUGGUCCUGACGAAAAGUGGCGGGGUCCGGAAUCCCCCAGUCCCCUGUAGCCACGCCCUGGUUUUGCAGUUUAUUAGCUUUGGUAGAUUUCAUAUUAAACAAACGAUGACUGAAACACUGUGCACUAUUGAUGGUUGUUAAUGAAUAAUGUUUUCAAAUCACUUAAACCUCAAACGGGAAGCUUCGAAUCGUACUUUCGAAUUUGGGGUAAAUUGUGCGUUAAAAUUGAAGCAUGAAUUAGCUACUUAGCUGUCGAAAAUUUAUAGAACUUACCUUCGAAUGCGAUUUCAAGUUUGCCGUUUGCGAUUAGCGGUCUUCCGCAAAAGUUAAUCUUAAGGUCCUGAUACGGGAUUCAACGGUAUUACUAGGUUUAAAUUUUCGAAUUUCAAUCUUACAAUCGUUUAGAAUUUUAAAAAAAUAUAUAUGUGCAAUAUCGGUGCAAUAUUUACAAUCCUGAUCAAAACCAUCAGCGAUAUCCCAUUAAAAUAUUCCCAUAGUUGUGCCUAUUUUUACCAUUAGACAACUUACUUUUGUGCCCUUUCCUCCCACCAAACAAUGCUGGACGUUUUAACCGUGUUCUGGUAAGGGGUGUUUUUCCUAAAUUUGCGAAAUAUUACCACAGGGAGUCCAACUAAGAGCUGUGUUAUGAAUAUGAAUAAAACAUAUUGUUUAAACGUAAUAUAAAUAAAACAUCAUAACGUAAUAAAUUUAAAUUAUUGCACUUACUUGUAUAAAUCAUAAGAGCUUGCAUUUACAAUGAAUAGCUUCAAACCGGGCGCUUAUAUAUGCUCAGAAACAUUGAUUAGAACGAUUGUUCAAAUAUGGCGAAUAAAUUGACAAAACGAAAAUAUUACAUGACGUUCCAACGAAAAUAACAGAAAGGAUUGCGGGCGCGAGCGGAAGGCGAGGGUAAUAGAUAUUGAUAUUAAUAGAAGGGAUGAAACACCGGUAAUGCGAUCGUGUGAUGAGUUCCAUAAGUAGCCUGGUCUCUCGGAAAAUUCCAAAACGCCUCCUGCCAAAUCCAACAACGCUUACGCGCUUAAUUAAUGAAAAUAAACAAUGUUUAGCUGUACCGGCUAAUAUGAAAUAUUUAAAUGUAGCGACCAGCGGGGUUUUUUAACAUUAUUUUGUUUUAUUAUUAUUUAGUCAUUACGUCAUGAGACCAGGCUACUUAUGGAACACAUCUCGCGAAAAUGGCCAAGAAUGCUCGCUGUUAUAAAUCACAUUAAUUAGAUUGAUCAGUGCUUUUUUGGUAAUGACUAGGCUUGUUCAUGUAAGAGAACUUCUACUGAGCCCUAAAAAUACCAUAAAAAGCUUAAACGGUUAGUCUAGAAGCAUUUUAAAAAGGCACGUGAUAUUUGUUUCAUUCCUUUUUAAUAUUUAUUUCUUCCCUCGCCUUUUCGCUCGCGCGCCCGCAAUCCUUUCUGUUAUUUUCGUUGGAACGUCAUGUAAUAUUUUCGUUUUGCCAAUUUAUUCGCCAUAUUUGAACAAUCGUUCUAACUGGUGUUUCUGAGCAUAUAUAAGCGCCUUGUUUGAAGCUAUUCGUUGUAAAUGCAAGCUCUUAUGAUUUAUACAAGUAAGUGCAAUAAUUUAAAUUUAUUAUAUAUCAAUAGUCAAGGUCGCAUUUUUCUAGUGUUUUAUUGGUUGAGAGCAUAUCACGUGAGAGUGACGAAAUUAGGCUGUCUCCCUCGCAACAGCGCGAGAGGGAGAUAAUACGUUAUCGACCGGCGAAUAACAAAAAAAAAAUCACGUGCGCCAUCACGUGAAGAUGCGACCUUUGGACAUGCCUAGUACGUAAUUAAAACUUUCGCUUUAAGUAACUGCAGUGUAGCCAGUGUUUAAUAUAACGUUUUAACAAUAAAAUAUUUCAUGUAUUUACGUUCAUUUGUUCUUUAAUUUGUUGUUUCUUUGAAUAUUGAUAUAUAAUAAAACACUUAUUUGCUGAGAUCUCGGGAAAGCAGUGUGUUUUGUGGACCCUUCGACCGUCGAUGUUUCCCUCGGCUUCGCCUCGGGAAACAUCGACGGUCUCGGGUCCACAAAACACACUAUUUCCCUCGGUCUCAGUAAAUAAGUGAUAAUUAUUACGUUAUGAUGUUUUAUUCAUAUUACGUUUAAUUAAUGUUUCAUAACACAGCUCUUAGUUGGACCCCCUGUGAUAUUACGAAGAAUUGUCAAAUAAUUGUAAGUGUCGCAGAUAUUUUUUCAAGCUCUGCAAAACCAUGCACGAAAUAUUGAACUUUACAUGCAAGACCAUAUAUAUGAAUAAAAUGUACAAACAAUUUGCAUCCUGUUAAAAUUUAGAGUAUUUAAAUAAGUUUACCAUGUUUUAUGUAAAAAGAUGUGUAACAGUAUAUAUGUAUCGAAAAAUCAUUUACACAUCUUUUCACAUAAAACAUGCAUGUAAAACUUCAUUUACAUACUCUGUACAUUUUAAGUUCUUUGUAGGUUUGCAUGGCAAUAAAACAUAGAAUACUAUUAUAAUUCAGUUUGUGGAAACACCAAUUUUAUUACUGCAGUAAUAACACUGAUGAAGAUCCAGGCUUAUACGGAUCGAAAGCUUUGCUGUAAUAAAUUUAGUACGUGGUGUUUCCACAAACAAUAGUAUUAUCUGUAAAUUUUACAGUCAAAAUACAAAUUUUUACAGUCAAAAUACAAAUCCACUUCCGCUUCUGUAGUCUGUUGUGAUUAGGGAGAUGCACAUUAUGCCGGAAUUUCUUUUAGAAUAAUAGGGAUUUUUUGAAACCGGGAAUAAUAGGAAAAAGCGGGAAUAAUAGGGAAACAUGUCGGUAUAACGUCAAUUUUCAUUCCGUAAUUAACAUAUGCACCAUCCGCUCACGGACCUGCGGCGUGCAUGAGUGUAUAUACCGUCUCUGAAUACGUCGUGUACGUAGAAUUUUUGGACUAAUAGCGUUAUGCAUUAUUUGUUUCUUUAACCAUUAUGCAAAUAAAAUUGAAAAUCUUGUCAAAAUUUCCAGCUCCACAUCCAUUAUAUAAAUAAAGUUCUCUCAGCCUUGGUUUGAUUUGAUGUGGGAUAAUUUUGGGAAUAAUAGGAGAAAAGUUUAAGAAUAAUAGGAUAAAGUCGAAGCAAUUUUGGAAUAGAAUAAUGGGAACAUUUUCGAGCACAAUUUGCGUGUGUCUAGUUGUGAUUUAGCUACUUUAAUUUUUCUGUAAGGGUUACCAAUUUAUUGGCAAUUAAAUUCCGUACUAAAAUUUAAAUUUCGCACAUUUUAUGCAUGCAAUGAAUCUAACGAAACAUGUAUCCUUUUGCUACAAAUUAUUAUAUGCAAAAACAAUACUCAAUUUUACAUCGGUAUUUGUCGAUAAAUCUGUAACCGCCACCGACAAACAGAAAUUACAGUAAAACACAACAGAAUACUGAAGCGGAACAUUUUUUGCAUUUUGACUGCAACAUGAUGCAUUGCAAAUUGUUUGUAUAUUCUAUUUACAUGGUCUUGUAAACCAAGGAAAUUUAAUUUUAGAUUCUCCUAUUAAAUUUAAAAGCAUGUAAAUUUCGUGCAAAUGCCUCAUGAGUUAAACUACGUUAAUACAUUGGGGAAAAUAUGGAAGACCACAGGAACACUUUGCUGCAAGUAAAUGUAAUAACGAAGGCCCGAUAAACCACAGGAUGCGAGGACUAUUCUUGGAAAAACUCUAUAAAAUGUAAAUGCCAUAAAAGAACCCAUGAAUUUAUGAAAAAUCUGUUAAUUUUAAUAAAACUGGGAUUAUUCUUUGUCAAUUAACCAUGCCCCAAUUUCAUAUUUAUAAUUCAAUUGUUUGUAUUAAGUAAAUAUUUCAGCGAGUAUUGUGCCCUCCCCUUUAAUUAAAACGAAAACCACCAUUGAAAUGCUCAUGCACCGAAUAUAACCUUUUGAACGGGGGGUCAAGUGCCUUCAAAACAUUACACAAACCAAACCAAUCAUACAUUUAAUCACACUUGGCCAAACAUUCUUCAUUUUAUUUGGAGAAAAAACUGGAAUAUCUUCUAAAUUCUUCGGAAUUUGCUGGAAGUCAAUAUGAGCAAAUACUCUUAGUAUUCAAGGUUAGCACUUUCAUGCAUGUAGAAAGUUUCGUUUGAAUACAACGAGUGAACAUAUUUAUUUUGAAAUUUUCAAAAUAUCGAGGUUUACUCGCACGCGCUUGCCACGCACUAUACUUAAUCAAUAAGGAGCGCCCUAUUAAUUCUGUCGAACUUGUCAACUUGUUCAACAAGUACUUUACAUCUGUAUUCACCAGUGAGUCAGUGACAGUAGUUCACCUUACCAUGCUUGUGAUGUGAACUACUGUCACUGGUGACCAGAUGAUACCCCAAACAAAACUGAUGUAACUCUAACUGAUCGACGUACCUUUGCUUGUAAAUUCACUGGUCGCAACGUGGACAUAUGCUUCUUUACGCCGUUAAUUUCCAGCCAUAGCUUGCGUGUUUCAUUCGAUGCUUCAUUACAAUUUAUUAAAUCAGUAUCGUCCAACGUGGCUAUCUCGCCUCUCUCUCUUGACUGUCUUUUGGAACGUCCCCCCAAAUUCCCCGAUCUGAGACCCUUGAAGACCCUGUGUCAAAUCCUUUUAAUUAAUUUCAAAGUUUAGAUGUGAUUAGGGAAAAUUUCUAUAUCUUGGAAAACGACCCUGAAACAUCCUCCAUUUUCUCCAAUAAUCCCUUCGUCUCUUCUCCACACACACAAAAUAUCCAUGAAACUCUAGUUUAUAACCUCCGUAUAACCACAGGAUUUGUUGCCUUCGAAUCGCACGUUUCAUUGUUGGAUGUCCCAGUGUAAAACAUACGAGUUUUAGAUGCUGCUACCACCAUUUCGGCAACAAAAUCUCAAUAUCAUGUUAAGAACAAUUUCGCGUGCAUGCAUCUUCCACCAUCCCAUUUACUGCAUCUCAUGCAGUAUGUGUGGCAUGCUAUAUAUUGAAGAAACUAGAAGCUUUUUGAGGACAAGGUUUGGAGAGCAUGCAUCGGUAUGCAUGUGCAGUCAUUGGUAAUGUGUUAACCAGCCUGUUGCCAGGCAUUUUAAUAGUGGCAAUUACAGUGUUUCAGAUAUAAAAAUUUGAGCUCUCUGUCCCAUUUCUGGAACGGCAAUGAUAGCCGAAAAGACGUGAAAUGCGCCUCAUUUUUAAACUUGGCACUGUUCAUCCCUGUGGCAUUAAUGAACAUUUAUCCUAGUUUUAAGUCUAUUUGUUUUUGUCGCAAGCAUUGACAGUACUUUAAAUUCUUACUUUGUGCCAUACUUGUUUCAUAUGUAUGUCUGUGUGGAACUAUAUCGGGUAAGCUGAAAAAAUCCAAUCUGUAGCCUUUGGCUUGGAGUCCAGUACUGUAGCAAUAAACCUUACCGUUUAGUCACUUUUUACCCAAUGGCCUUGUUUUCGAGUCAAAUACUUACUCAUGUUUUGUGUUCAGUAGGGUUGAAAAUUACUUUCUUAUUGAGCCUAAGAACAGCAAGAAACAAAUUCGUCCGGGAAAACAUGGGAAUAUAAUCUUUAUCUGCCCCUGUUAAAAUAAGUUAACAUGGAAACGAGGUCAUUGUGUAAAAGAGAAUAAUCGGUAAGGUCUAUUGAGCUACAGGCAGCUCGUUGCGAGAUGAUCUUUGGAAACUUAGUGUAGUUCGUACGAUCUCAAAAUAAAUACAGAUACGGGCUCAAGCUGGAAACAACAUACAAAACGGAGAGGUUUUAAUAUUACGAGGAUUACAGCACAACUGAUUAGCAUACUAAUUAGACCGUAUAAAAAUACUGACUUUCAUGGUCAGCAGAGACAAUUUGAACUUUCGGCAGCCUUUUUAUAGUAAAAGCAAUGGUUACUGCAUGCUCAGAGCAGUCUGAGCAGUAACUCUUUCCUCAGAGUUACUGCUGAGGGAGCCAAUCAGAACGCUUGAAAGUAAAUUGUCAGUGUUGAAUUUAUACUAAAAUCUGAUAAAAAGCAUGAUAAAAAAAUAAUUUUAUGAAAUGAUUUUUUCGCAAAAUAAUGACACGGAAGGAGAAGUAAACGAAUGUUUCCUAUAACAUGCUAGAUUAUUGAACGACUAAUAUAGAAUUUCAUAUUUAUGUUGCAGAAAUACAGAGAACAGACUCUAUGGAUGACCCCUUUCAAGAUCCAGAUAAAGGUGAGCCAUUAAUAGAAGAAGUAAAAUUUUUGAAAUGUCUGGAACCCAAAGGUAACUGUAAGCCUAAGUUUAUAAAAUUAUAACAGAGUGGACUUUCGUUGACGCUGCACAAAAAUAGUGCGGGCUCGUGAGCUUUUCCCGCAAAUUUUGCUUUUCGAUGUUUGGCUUACAAUUUCUAAGGAUGUUGAAGUUUACAGUAUUGUGAUUCUCUGGUUUUUGAAAGCAUCUGGAGAUUUUUGUCGGAAGUUCUAGUAAAUUAAAACUGAAAAAAGGUAUCAAUUUCCCGCGCGUAAUACAAAAUGAUUGAAAAACGGCAAACUUCGCAGGGCUAUAUCACCCGCAUUUUACAAUAUUUCGCAACGAAACUUUGGAAUAUUACUAAUUUUGUGAUGCUGUUUCAAACUGUGAUGAAACGUUUGUCUAGACUUGGCUACAUCAAAAUUUUGUUCAUGGGGAAUGCAGUCCAAUGAGUCGAAAAUUGACGUUUUAUUUUUUAGUCUAAUUUGAAAAGUCAUUGAAAACUGUUGUGUAACUUUCUUGCUUCGGUUUGAAGACAUUUUAUUUUGUAUGAUAUUAAUAUUACUUUAUUAAAUGGCAAGCAUCAACGUCCGGUGAAAUGGCGGACUGUGAUUGGCUGGGCCAUUAUUUUCCCGUAAUGGACCGACGGUCCAUUACGUAAAAACAGACGCAUGCAUUUUAAAACAAAACAGCAAAACUAAUUGAAAAUUAUAAUUUCAUUUGUUAUUACUAAGUUAUCUGCGAAUGGUUUCAAGUGAAAAGGAAGGAAUACAAUGGUAUUUUUUGUUUUCUUUGAUUAAAUGUGUGUCAUGCUACAUUAAUGCAUUUCAAAUCAUGCAUUUCCUGUUUGUUUCGAUCUUUCGACUAUAAAUGUCAUAUAAUAAACUUCUUUUUGUACAAACCUCGCCCUACGGGCUCGGUCUGUACGAAAAAGACCUCGGUCCAAUAUUUCUCUUUAAAGACCUCGCGCUCCGUUAAUAAGUAGUUAAUAAUCUGAUAAUCUGUUAAUAAUCUGAAGUAGUUAAUAAUCUGAUAAGCAGAAGAUAACAAAUGCUCCCUGACAUGCUAGAUUUUCGAAGGACUAAUAUAGAAGUGUUUUUUUUGCACGACAGUACAAGGUGUUGCAAAAACACAGAGAAGAGACUCUCAGGAUGACUUCCUGGAUGAAGGUGAGUUGUAUUGUUAUUCUAAUAAGUUUCAUAGCCAUCUUCCCUUCGAUGGGCUAUGGUUUGAAAUGGUCAUUAUUUUCGUAAAUUAAAAUGGACUUUCAAACAAAAAUCGGGAGCAAAUAAAUUUUUAAAUACUUUUUCUGUAUUUGUGAUUUUCUACCUACCUCCGGUGAAAAACGUG